rnacentral:rRNA from 1 species
AUGGUGUCCAAGAUCAAGCGCCUCCCGACGCUGGCCAAGGUGGCCCUGCUGCUCCUCGUCCUGCUCCUCCUCCUCGCCGCCAUCCUGCUGCUCAUCUUCCUCGUCCCGCGCCGCCGCACGGCGCCGCUGCCGCCCCCCGCGGCGCCCCCGGGCCCGGCGGACAACUGCUCCUCCGACCGCGCCGUGGCGUUCGACUUCUCCCCGUUCCUCGUCCAGUACAGGGGCGGCUGCGUCCACCGGAUGGACGGCACCGCGCGCGUCCCCGCCGGCGUCGACGCGGCCACCGGGGUGACGUCCAAGGACGUCGUCAUCAACCACGUGACCGGCCUCGGGGCCAGGAUGUACCUGCCGCCGAAGCUGGCAGCCGGUGGCAAGAAGGAGAAGGAGAAGGACCUGCCGGUCGUGGUGUUCUUCCACGGCGGCGCGUUCGUCAUCAUGACGCCGUUCGAGCCCAAGUACCACGACUACCUGAACGCGCUGGUGGCCAGGGCGCGCGUGGUGGCGGUGUCCGUGGACUACCGCCUGGCGCCGGAGCACCCGCUGCCGGCCGCCUACGACGACUCGUGGGCGGCGCUCAACUGGGCCGCCAGGAACGCGGACGCCGGGCCGGAGCCGUGGCUGCGGGACCGCGGGAACCUCUCCCGCCUCUUCCUCGCGGGCGACAGCGCGGGCGCCAACAUCGCGCACAACAUGGCGAUGCGCGCCGGGAGCGGGAGCGGGCUGGAGGGCGGCGCGGCCAUCCUGGGCGUGCUGCUCCUGGACCCCUACUUCUGGGGGAAGCGGCCCGUGGGCGCGGAGACGAGGGACCCGGCGACGCGGCGGCGGUACGAGGAGACGUGGUCGUUCGUGUGCGGUGGGCGGUACGGCAUCGACGACCCGCUGAUCAACCCGCUGGCGGCGCCGGCGUCGGCGCUGCGGAGGCUGGCGUGCGCCCGCGUGGCGGUGACCACGUCGGGGCUGGACAACUUCGAGGCCCGCGGGGAGGCGUACGCCGCGGCGCUCAACGGCAGCGGGUGGCGCGGCGAGGUGGUGCGGUACGAGACCGCCGGCGAGCGGCACGUCUACUUCCUGGACCAGCCCGCCAGCCCCAAGUCCGCCAGGGAGCUGGCGUUCGCGGCCGCGUACCUGAGCCGGGAGUAG